rnacentral:rRNA from 1 species
CCAAUAGCGUAUAUUAAAGUUGUUGCAGUUAAAAAGCUCGUAGUUGAAUUUCGGGGUCAGUAGGUUGGUCAUGCCUCUGGUAUGUACUGGUCUCACUGAUUCCUCCUUCCUGAUGAGCCGUAAUGCCAUUAAUUUGGUGUUGCGAGGAAUCUGGACUGUUACUUUGAAAAAAUUAGAGUGUUUAAAGCAGGCUAACGCUUGAAUACAUUAGCAUGGAAUAAUGAAAUAGGACGUUCGAUCUUAUUUUGUUGGUUUCUAAGAUUGACGUAAUGAUUAAUAGGGAUAGUUGGGGGCAUUAGUAUUCAAUUGUCAGAGGUGAAAUUCUUGGAUUUAUUGAAGACUAACUACCGCGAAAGCAUUUGCCAAGGAUGUUUUCAUUAAUCAAGAACGAAAGUUAGGGGAUCGAAGACGAUCAGAUACCGUCGUAGUCUUAACCAUAAACUAUGCCGACUAGGGAUCGGAUGAUGUUAAUUUUUUAAUGACUCAUUCGGCGCCUUACG